rnacentral:lncRNA from 1 species
GAGGGGGUGUGGGCAGAGUGGACAAACUGAUGAAAAAGUCUGCUGCAAAGUGCAGCUCUCUCAGUGAGGCUUUUCCCUAACAACACUGAGUCUUGGGUUUUAGUUACUUGUGGUUCUGGUUUUAAUAGACUUAGCUGCUGUGGGAUGCCUAAGAAGCUUAAAUUUUGGGUGCCUUAGGAUCACCAGGAAGAAAAACAAACAAACCAAUAAAGAUUUGGAUAACAAGAGAGAAGUUGAUUGAAAACUGUCAACUCCCUGAAAGUUUUAAACCAGGCAUGAAGCCUCCUGUGUCCCUCAUUCAUCAUGUUUCUGAAGACAGUUGACCUGUUGACUUAAAGACAUCAUUUAAGAGAGUCAGCCAGAACUAAUGACAGUGUGAAGACCUGCUAACCAUGGCUUCAAUGUGGAUAUGAUGGCUGGAGCUCCAGCAGCCAUCCUGUGACCCUGAGAACAAGCCAUUCAUUGAGGCUAAUGAAGCAGGAAGAAGGAAUCCUGAGUCCUUGGGAAACAAGGAUCUACCUGAAUAGCUCCGAAUGCCUACUUCUAGAUGUCCUUUUAGAAAGAGAAGCACACCCUUGUGUAUUUCAGCCACUGCUAUUUAAGGCUGAAAACACAGUGAAAGCAGGCCGUGUCCAUUUUAUUUGCUGCUGAAUCCUCA